UCGUUGUGUUCCUGGAUAGUACGUUGGACUUCUAAUCCAAAGGUCGUGGGUUCGAAUCCCACCAGGAAAG